rnacentral:rRNA from 1 species
CUUGGUCAUUUAGAGGAAGUAAAAGUCGUAACAAGGUUUCCGUAGGUGAACCUGCGGAAGGAUCAUUAACGAGUAACUGAACGGGUUGUAGCUGGCCUCUCGGGGCAUGUGCACACCUGGCUCAUCCACUCUUCAACCUCUGUGCACUUGUUGUAGGUCGGCAGAAGGGCGAGCCUUAAAACAGCUCGCUUGGAAGCCUUCCUAUGUUUUAUUACAAACGCUUCAGUUUAAGAAUGUAACCUGCGUAUAACGCAACUAUAUACAACUUUCAGCAACGGAUCUCUUGGCUCUCGCAUCGAUGAAGAACGCAGCGAAAUGCGAUAAGUAAUGUGAAUUGCAGAAUUCAGUGAAUCAUCGAAUCUUUGAACGCACCUUGCGCUCCCUGGUAUUCCGGGGAGCAUGCCUGUUUGAGUGUCAUGGUAUCCUCAUCCUUCAUAACUUUUUGUUAUCGAAGGCAUGGACUUGGAGGUCGUGCUGGUUCCUCGUUGAAUCGGCUCCUCUUAAAUGUAUUAGCGUGAGUGUAACGGAUCGCUUCGGUGUGAUAAUUAUCUGCGCCGUGGUCGUGAAGGAACAUAAGCUUGCGCUUCUAACCGUCCUUAAGUUGGACAACUUACUUUGACAUCUGACCUCAAAUCAGGUAGGACUACCCGCUGAACUUAAGCAUAUCAAUAAGCGGAGGAAAAGAAACUAACAAGGAUUCCCCUAGUAACUGCGAGUGAACCGGGAAAAGCUCAAAUUUAAAAUCUGGCAGCCUUGGCUGUCCGAGUUGUAAUCUGGAGAAGCGUCUUCCGCGCUGGACCGUGUACAAGGUCUC